UAAAAUAUCUUUUACCUAAAAUUUUAGCUGGUUCAAUUAAAGAAGCAUAAAAGCAAAUAACUUUAUUAGAUCAUCAGCCUUUUUGAGAAACUGAUUAAAUAGCCAUACCACAAAAUACAUGUAAAACAUAUGCUAAACAAAUAGAAAAACUGAUGAAAAACUGAUAUAAAAAAAUACCGAUAUCCUCACCUAAGAACUAAAGCAACAUAGAUUAUCCAUCAAUUUCAACUGCACCUGACCAGCUUACUCUAUAACCCAACAUCUACUACUUUUAUCAAAAUCAUGAAUUUUUACAACCUGUUUAAGAAUAGUCAAAUUCUGAUCAUGUCUAAUUAAACAACAUAAAACAAACCCAUCACCCAAAAAAUCCAUUUUGAUCUAUGAAAAAAAAUAAAGCAAAUCUGUCUAAAAUUUUCACUUACUGAUCCCCCACCUCCUUAAUCCUCCAAGAAAAUUCAGUAAAAUAAGAUAUACAGUGAACUAAAUUGGCAAGUAGCAGAUUGUAUCCACUAUAAUUAUAAAAAUAUAUAUACAUACACACAUGAACAAAGUAUAAAUGAAGAUUACAAAAAAAUUACAAACAAAUAAAUCUACGGUCUGGAAGGUUUGGGGUUUUUUAGGUUCUUUGAUUUGCUAAUUCCAAGCGGGAAGAAUGGCUGCUAAAAGGAACAGGAAAUCGAUAUGGAAAAGGAGAUUAAUUAGGGUUGGCUUGCUGUUUUUGGUGGAAAUACCACUCCCUCCGCAGAUGAUUUGAAGAAGAUAAAGAGAUGGACAUAUUGAAUUUAAGCGAGAAGGAAAAUAUAAGAGGAAGAGUCAAACGAUUGAUCAGACUAAUUCCAACAAAAUUGACUUGAUUUCAAACUCGCAUGAGAGAGGUGAAACUAAGAAAAUUCAGUAAAACUAGAUGUACAGUGAACUAAAUUUGCAAGCAACAGAUUGUAUCCAUUGUAAUUAUUAAAAAAUAUAUAAAUAAACAUAUGAACAUAGUAUCAAUUAAGAUUACAGAAAUUU
rnacentral:lncRNA from 1 species